rnacentral:rRNA from 1 species
UACGAAGGGGGCUAGCGUUGCUCGGAAUUACUGGGCGUAAAGGGCGCGUAGGCGGCACUGUUAGUCAGGCGUGAAAUUCCUGGGCUCAACCUGGGGACUGCGCUUGGUACGGCAGAGCUAGAGGAUGGAAGAGGCUCGCGGAAUUCCCAGUGUAGAGGUGAAAUUCGUAGAUAUUGGGAAGAACACCGGUGGCGAAGGCGGCGAGCUGGUCCAUUACUGACGCUGAGGCGCGACAGCGUGGGGAGCAAACAGG